GACGAACGCUGGCGGCGUGCUUAACACAUGCAAGUCGAACGGAAAGGCCUCUUUCGGGGGGUACUCGAGUGGCGAACGGGUGAGUAACACGUGAGUAACCUGCCCUUGACUUUGGGAUAACUUCAGGAAACUGGGGCUAAUACCGGAUAGGAGCUCCUGCUGCAUGGUGGGGGUUGGAAAGUUUCGGCGGUUGGGGGUGGACUCGCGGCUUAUCAGCUUGUUGGUGGGGUAGUGGCUUACCAAGGCUUUGACGGGUAGCCGGCCUGAGAGGGUGACCGGCCCCAUUGGGACUGAGAUACGGCCCAGACUCCUACGGGGGGCAGCAGUGGGGAAUAUUGCACAAUGGGUGGGAGCCUGAUGCAGCAACGCCGUGUGCGGGAUGACGGCCUUCGGGUUGUAAACCGCUUUCGCUCAUGACGAAGCUUUGUGUGACGGUAGUGGGUAAAGAAGCACCGGCUAACUACGUG
rnacentral:rRNA from 1 species